rnacentral:rRNA from 1 species
UACGUAGGGGGCAAGCGUUGUCCGGAAUCAUUGGGCGUAAAGAGCGUGUAGGCGGCCAGAUAAGUCCGCUGUGAAAUCUCGAGGCUCAACUUCGAGCUGUCGGUGGAAACUGUCUGGCUAGAGUCCGGAAGAGGAGAAUGGAAUUCCUGGUGUAGCGGUGAAAUGCGCAGAUAUCUGGAGGAACACCGGUGGCGAGGGCGGCAUCCUGGACCGGCAUUGACGCUGAGGCGCGAAAGCUAGGGGAGCAAACGGG